GAUGAACGCUGGCGGCGUGCCUAAUACAUGCAAGUCGAGCGAACAGACGAGGAGCUUGCUCCUCUGACGUUAGCGGCGGACGGGUGAGUAACACGUGGAUAACCUACCUAUAAGACUGGGAUAACUUCGGGAAACCGGAGCUAAUACCGGAUAAUAUAUUGAACCGCAUGGUUCAAUAGUGAAAGACGGUUUUGCUGUCACUUAUAGAUGGAUCCGCGCCGCAUUAGCUAGUUGGUAAGGUAACGGCUUACCAAGGCAACGAUGCGUAGCCGACCUGAGAGGGUGAUCGGCCACACUGGAACUGAGACACGGUCCAGACUCCUACGGGAGGCAGCAGUAGGGAAUCUUCCGCAAUGGGCGAAAGCCUGACGGAGCAACGCCGCGUGAGUGAUGAAGGGCUUCGGAUCGUAAAACUCUGUUAUUAGGGAAGAACAAAUGUGUAAGUAACUAUGCACGUCUUGACGGUACCGAAUCAGAAAGCCACGGCUAACUACGU
rnacentral:rRNA from 1 species